UACGAAGGGGGCUAGCGUUGCUCGGAAUCACUGGGCGUAAAGCGCACGUAGGCGGCUUUUUAAGUCAGGGGUGAAAUCCUGGAGCUCAACUCCAGAACUGCCUUUGAUACUGAGAAGCUUGAGUCCGGGAGAGGUGAGUGGAACUGCCAGUGUAGAGGUGAAAUUCGUAGAUAUUCGCAAGAACACCAGUGGCGAAGGCGGCUCACUGGCCCGGUACUGACGCUGAGGUGCGAAAGCGUGGGGAGCAAACAGG
rnacentral:rRNA from 1 species